rnacentral:misc_RNA from 1 species
GUGGUGGGCGGAGCUUGAGGCCGGCGAGCGGUGGGGGAACGUUUGCCUGCCUCGUCAGUCUGUCACGAUCUGUAGCACGUAGAGGGUGUGCCGUGCGCUGUCCUUCGCACCAGUAACACGCUCCUCGUCACUCUUAUCAGCCAGCCAUGCGGUGGCUAACACAACCUGUGGUCAUCGCACUGGCCAUGGUCACCAUCUCGACAUGUAUAUCAAAGACCUCCGCCAACGCCGUGUUUGAGCUAAGACUCAACAAGUUUGUGAACCAGUAUGGACGGGACACAGAGGGUCACUGUUGUAACGGGUACAGAGACUCAGAGGGACAGUGUAGUGGUACUUGUAGAACCAAGUUCCGUGUGUGUCUUAAAGUGUACCAGGAGGUGAUCGACCCAAAGUCCCCAUGUACUUUUGGGGAGGCAGUGACGCCCAUCUUGGGCGAGAACGAAGUGGAUUUCUCAAAAGCCGACUUGGAUGGAUUUGUGAAUCCUGUGAGAUUUCAGUUGGCGUCGUGGCAGGGAACCUUUUCACUGAUCAUAGAAGCUUGGCAUGAACACCCCAACGGCACAGCCUCGUAUGUCGGUCCUGCCCUCAUCACCCGCCUCAUGACCCAGCGAUGGUUGGACCUGGGCGAGGACUGGACGGGCGACGACCACCGCACCGCACACGCCUCCCUCAGCUACGAGUACCGGGUCAUCUGCCAGGAGCACUAUUACGGCGAAGGCUGCCGCAAAUGGUGUAAACCGCGCAAUGACAACUUCGGUCAUUACGUGUGUAACGACACCGGCUACCUGGUGUGUCUGGAGGGAUGGCAGGGUACCCACGACUACUGCAUCACUCCCAUCUGCCGGGCUGGCUGUCACCCGACCACUGGCCACUGUGAGCAACCCAACGAGUGCAAAUGUCAUAAUGGAUGGAAGGGUCCUAACUGUGACCAAUGCGAGAAGUACCCUGGCUGUCUUCACGGGUCGUGUGAGAAACCUUGGCAGUGCGCCUGUGACGAGGGCUGGGGCGGCCUCUUCUGCAACCAGGACCUUAACUUCUGCACCAACCAUCGUCCCUGUAAGAACGGCGCUACAUGUCUAAAUACGGCGCCCGGAUCAUACUCGUGCCAGUGCCCACCUGGCUUCUCUGGCACUAACUGUGAGAUAAUCAACGACACGUGUGCCACCACCCCGUGUCGUAAUGGUGGCACUUGUCUCGACACUGGAGAUGACAACUUUGUCUGCCAGUGUCCGUCUGGCUACACUGGCCAGUACUGUGAGAUCUCGGGCCAGUCUUGUGCUGACCGACCCUGUAUGCACGGUGCCACCUGCUCCGACACUCCCACGGGCUACCAGUGCCUAUGCCACGCGGGCUUCGAGGGCACCAACUGUGAACGACCCGUCAACGAGUGUGCCUCAGACCCCUGUCUCAACGGUGGUUCUUGUGUGGACGAGCACGACAGCUACCAGUGCGUGUGUCCCGUAGGCUACAGCGGCACUCGUUGCCAGACUGACAUAGACGACUGUGCUCACCGACCUUGUCUUAACGGUGGCACCUGUGUGGACGGUGUUGACUCCUACGUGUGUCGGUGUGUGCCGGGCUUCCUGGGGACGCUCUGCCAGACCAAUGUGGACGACUGUCGCACUCAACCUUGUGCUAAUGGCGGUACUUGUGUCGAUCGUGUCAAUGAUUUCCAGUGUCAGUGUAAGCCAGGCUGGGGCGGCCGACAGUGUACUGACAGUGUGCCGGUGCCGCCCUCGCCCUGUGCCUCGUCUCCCUGCAACAAUGGUGGCCACUGUGUGGAGGCGCUGGAACUGGCCGUGGGAUACAGGUGCUCGUGCCCUCGCGGUGUGGGAGGACCUCGCUGCUCCAUCGUCACCUCCAAGACUUCUCCACACACAGACAAGGUUGUGGAGCCGAUGUCCCCGGCCCAGGUGGUGCUCAUAGUGGUGUUCAGCACAGCCGUGCCGGUGCUGGUGGUGGUGUCCGUGUUAGCCAUCGUGUGCAUGAAGCGCAAGCGGAGGUGUGAUCGCGCCCGCCAGGAUGAAGAAGCUCGGCGCCAGAAUGAACAGAACAUGGUGCACAAUGCUGUGAAUGCCGUCAACAACAAGUGUCUGGAGGACCACAUGAUCUUCAAUUCAUUAGACUACCCAGCCAAGCCUCUCAACACCCAGUCUCAGGGGCACCACCAGCCCCACCACCACCAGGAGACCGAUUACAAGAACAUGGUAGUGGAGAACACGUACAGCAUCGUCCCCACCAGGAGCACCAAGACCCUCAACACGGACGUCUCGAGACUCUCCCUGGCAGAUCGCUUGGAGAAGGACCUGGACGCCCUCACCUGCCGCGGGACGCCGACCUCAGAGUUCAACGCGCCCUGCAAGGUGUUGCCUGAGACACACCUGCCCCGCACCCAUAGUCACAGCGAUGUGUACAUGAAGAGAGGCGGGGUUAGUGGGAGCUGUGACAUACACACUUCCACCAACACGCUAACCUCCACCUGCUCCCCCUCCACCUGCACCACCCCCUCCAGCGUCUUCGUCAUAGAGGAACACUAUGACGACGACAACUACAUCGCCACGCAAGUGUAGUAGUGCCAAGGUGUCAUAGAAAAACGUUUAAUAAAGUAAACUUGUGCUAGUGAGGCCAAAAACGACUUUAUAUUACAAUUAAUAGUAUUAUUUUUGUUCGCCUUCCACUGUGAAAAGUUUCCGUCUUUCUCUACCACGUGUUGAAAGUUUUCUGUCUCGCUGAAGAAGUGUCGCCUCACUUCGUUAGUCCUCAACACAUCCAAAGAUGUUUUAAUUUAGAUUUUCUUGCAAAUGUGUUAUUUAUUUAUUGUUAAAAUAAAUGAUUUUUAUACGCUGUAAGUUGUGGUAUGUGGUACAAAGUGGGUUAUUUGUAGUGCCUUCCGUGUGAGCAGUGAACAGUGCGUGUGGCAGGUGUACAGCAGCCUUCCGUGUGAGCAGUGAACAGUGUGUGUGGCAGGUGUACAGCAGCCUUCCAUGUGAGCAGUGAAUAGUGUGUGUGUGGCAGGUGUGCAACAGCCUUCCGUGUGAGCAGUGAACAGUGCGUUUGGCAGGUGUACAGCAGCCUUCCAUGUGAUAAGUGAAACAGUGUGUGUGGCAGGUGUACAGCAGCCUUCCAUGUGAACGGUGUGUGUGUUGAACACAGUGGCAGGUGUACAGCAGCUUAGUACUGACGUCACCAAGUCAGUCACGUGGUCUGUUGGCAGUGGCGCCCCGUGAGGAAGAGGUCGCUGUGUAAGGUGGCUGGUGGCGCCCUUCAGGUGGUCACCUGCUGUCUGUUCCACACCACCUGGAUACUCCACACCACCUGGAUACUCCACACCACCUGGAUACUCCACACCACCUGGAUACUUCACACCACCUGGAUACUCCACACCACCUGGAUACUCCACACCACCUGAAUACUCCACACCACCUGGAUGCUCCACACCACCUGGAUGGGACAGUUUCAAAUUCUUAACCUUAACUUCUGUAGAAAAAAAAUGACAUUUUUCAGUUGUUUGUGACCAAGAAUGUUUUUAUUCGGUUGAUUUCUAUUAGAAUUUUGUAUUUUUGACAUUUGUGAGUAACAUGAAACUGUCUUAAGGUGGUCAGUCUACGACCUGUGUCAGUCACCACCAGUCAACUCACUGUUCACACUCUCCCUUGUAUGUAUCCCCCAGUGUUCCUAUGUUCAGUUGUUCUACCACACCAAUUUAUGAUAUUUGUAUUGUCAAUUUUCUUUUUCAAAUACAGUUAAUUAGUUGUGAUGGCCCGGCCCGUCUCUGUGACCAGUAUCCAUUUAAUUUGGGAAAAACAGUUUACUUGGUGUUUGUGUAAAAUAGUUGAUGGCCAGAUACUGAAGCUGUGUACUGUAGGUGUAGAGGCUGUCCUCAUGAGCCGCACUGUAGACCUGUCCCAACAACUACGGUUAUCUACGUUACUUUUAAAUAUGUAGGUAUCAUAUUGUUGUUCUCAUUACUAACUACGACUGUUAUUAAUACACAUAAUGUCGUAGUUACUAUCACGACUAAUUACGACUGUUAUUAAUACACACAAGGUCGUAGUUACUAUCACGACUAACUACGACUUAUUAAUACACACAAGGUCGUAGUUACUAUCACGACUAACUAUGACUGUUAUUAAUACACACAGGUCGUAGCAAUUAUCACGACUAUGACUUAUUAAUACACACAGGUCGUAGUUACUAUCACGACUAAUUACGACUGUUAUUAAUACACACAAGGUCGUAGUUACUAUCACGACUAACUACGACUGUUAUUAAUACACACAAGGUCGUAGUUACUAUCACGACUAACUACGACUGUUAUUAAUACACACAAGGUCGUAGUUACUAUCACGACUAACUACGACUGUUAUUUGUACACAAGGUCGUAGUUACUAUCACGACUAACUACGACUUAUUAAUACACAUAAUGUCGUAGUUAUUAUCACGACUAUGACUUAUUAAUACACACAGGUCGUAGUUACUAUCACGACUAACUACGACUGUUAUUAAUACACACAAGGUCGUAGUUACUAUCAUUACUACCAAAAGAGAAGCUUAUGAAGUGUGGCGGACAGUAUGUGUGUAAUAAUAAUAAUAACGCUUUGUACUGCUGUUUGUGUUGAUGUACCAUUGUGUAGUGAACACUCUAGGUUGGUCGCCCACGGCAGAGAACACGUCUCAAAUGUACUGGUUUAAUUUUUAUUUAUUUUUUUUUCUGUACAUUUUGUCAAGUUUUUACUAAAUGUACAUUGGACGAUUGAAGAGUAUUUAAAAUGUGUAUAUAUAAUGUAUAUAUAUAAACUGACCUCACAAGGGAAUAAAGCUACACAUAUUUUUUCAA